UACGGGGGGAGCAAGCGUUGUUCGGGAUUACUGGGCGUAAAGGGCUCGUAGGCGGCCAACUAAGUCAGACGUGAAAUCCCUCGGCUUAACCGGGGAACUGCGUCUGAUACUGGUUGGCUUGAAUCCGGGAGAGGGAUGUGGAAUUCCAGGUGUAGCGGUGAAAUGCGUAGAUAUCUGGAGGAACACCGGUGGCGAAGGCGGCAUCCUGGACCGGUAUUGACGCUGAGGAGCGAAAGCCAGGGGAGCAAACGGG
rnacentral:rRNA from 1 species